AAACUCGUUUAAUCCACUCAAACUGUCUGGAGUGGAUUAAAAAGAGUAAGUCAAAUAAAAAAUUAUAUUGGUAUGAAAAAGAAAGAAAUAUAAUUUGGUAGAGAGUAGAGUGUUAGCUUAAAACAAAAAAUAGUGUUGCCAUAUACAUACGAGAUAAUAUAGAGAAAAAUAUCCUUUUGGCAUCACUGCAAAAUUUGUAUCACAUCAAGGAUAAUCCGAAAAAGGUGCAAAGUGAUGAAUUCAGUUUUCUUUAUCAAUGGAAUGACGCUAAGCGUUUAACACGGAAAGAGAAACAGAAAGAACAACAACAAAAUACCAAUGCAUUCGUCAGCUGUUUGGCUGAAAGAGUUGCCAUAUUUUACAAAAUGAAUACAAUUUGAACCACUGACCACAAGCGACAGAUGAAAAACAAUAGUCAAAAAAAUACAAGUGUUAUUCUGACGACAUUACCACCUUAAAAGGGCUGCUAUGGCGAUGAGAAUUUUAACCCAAAAACGUGUUAAGUACAAAUUAGAAUAUUAAUUUCAUUAAAUGGUUUUUGCAGUAUUCAUACUUAAUUACUAUAAUUUUCUUUUUACAUUUUUCUGACCCUACAUAUCUAUAUCUUAAAUAAAAAUAUAAAAUUACAAAACAUCCAUUGUUUCAUCCUCCAAUUCCGUUGAGUACACAUAAACAUCUCGCCGGCGCGCAAACAUAACUUCAUUUAACUUAGGAUGUGUAGCUAAAGAAUGUACAACACCUCCAGUUUUACCUUAUUUUAGCCUCUAGUAAAUCCCAAACAAUAGCAUCUCCCUCACUGCUGCCCGAGACUAUAUGAGCAUCGUUACACAUAAUCCCACAUUCGAUAUGAUAAUCAUCGCCUUUGCAACCCUUGUACUCAGACAAUAAACCACCAGAAUCACAAUCCAACAAACGCACAAUAUUAUCUUGACAAGCGGCCACUAGACAUUGUUCAUCCCUCGUCAUGGUUAAAUAGGUAAUGGGCACUCCCACCUUAUCACAAGUGAGUUCUCCCACACACGUUAUACAAUCUUUAGCUUCUCUCAUCAUUUGUACCGGUUCCAAACGUCUGGUACGUAUAUCCCAACAAAAGACGGCAUUAUCACGUCCUCCCGAUAUCGCUAUAGAGGAGUCUUCAUUAAAACACACACAUUUAACACCACCAGCAUGACCACGCAAACGUCUUACCGGCGCUCCAGUACUAACAUCCCAAUAGAUUAUACUUUUAUCCAAACUAGAGGUCACAAUGUUACUACUUUCACAACUGCCAGCGGCAUCGGUAACUUCAUCGGCAUGACCGCCGUAGGUUUUUAAAAGUAAUCCAGUCUUGUGAUUCCAUAAUUUUAGCUUCUUGUCGGAGCCGCAAGUUAAACAAUAAGAGCCAUCGACUGGAAAGGAAUUGUUUGCAUUUGUUUAUUUUGAUAAAUAAAAUGUCAGUGAAUCUUACCAUUAUAGCGUACCGCUCUAACGGCGCCUUGUUUACAAUCAAUUAUACGCAGGCAUUUAAAUUCUUGGAAUGUCAUUAUUAUUUUAAUUAAAUAUAUUAAUAAUUUAUUAAAAUUUCUGUCAAAUUUUUUGUUUUGGAUUAAAAAUUUGUUUACAUUUAGUUUGUGUUAAUAAUUCUAAGUGAAUGUCUAAUAAAAACAUAAACAAUAACAGC
rnacentral:lncRNA from 1 species